rnacentral:tRNA from 1 species
GUCUCCGUAGCUCAGUGGAUAGAGCGUUUGGUUGCGGACCAAAAGGCCGCAGGUUCGAAUCCUGCCGGGGACGCCU